AUAGUCUGCAUAUUGUCACUUGCUCACACCUCAUUAUUGUCCGAGAGUAUUUCCGAGGACACUUGAACGCAGCAGCAGAGCAGCCUUUGACACUUCUUUAACCCGACACAAGCUAAUGCUCAGGAUGUCUGAUAAGCAGCUGGGGAAAAAAGUGGGGACCGAUGCCUGGCAGAUGGUGCCAUUAAGCUCGGUACUGGGCUGGGGUUAGGAAUCGUGUUGUCUGUUCUGUUCUUCAAGCGUAAGUAUUUUCAGCAGAUUUCCUGUUCUGUGUCAUGAACCUUUAAUCUCGCUCAGGCGGCCUUGACAAGAGGAGCACAGAUACGGACCUGUAGAUACCGCAGUGUAUGCAAAGUAAUGGCUGAAAAAAGCGGAGGGUAUUAUAACUAAAAUACGGACGUUGCAGGAUCAGAAUAAAUAGUGCAUGGAUGUGUUUUUAUCUGUGAAAAUGUGUUCCUUUAAUUUUCUCUAGCACUAUCAUCUGCUACAGUUUGCAUGAAAAUAUUACUUUUUUACUUUGGUACACUUUGUUACACUUUGUUUUAAUGUGACGAACGUGUUAUUUCCUGCAUUUAUAAAUAAACGCAGAUGAGACGAUUCAGUGCUUCAAUUUUUAUCAACGUGCACCAGUGAAGGAGUCUGUGAAAGUAAAUGUUAAUAACAAGAAAAGAAAAGAAACAAGGUGACACAACAAGAGUGUGAAAGGAUUUCUCACGCCAUUCUGCUGUGUUUUAAAUAACUCUGUGAAGUGCAUCUCUGUAAGGGAUAAAUGAACCCUGUUUCACUCGUAGGACACACCGUGGCCAAUUUUCACUGGGCUCUGGAGCGGGGACUCGGCAUGGCAUAUGCCACCUGUCAGAAUGACCUGAGGUCACAUUAUAUGCUGCACAGAGCUGAAAAGGAGCAGUAGCUACAUUUCAUCAGGGACUGUCCUUUUUUAUUUUUUUGAACUUUUUCUGUUUGUUUUGUCCUGUGGGAGAGUCACCAUUUGCACUGUUCUGCAGCUAGAUCAUCGUCUCCCUGUUGAACGAUCCCAUCCCUCAUGACUCUGAUUGAUUUGUAUGUGCCUGAUCAGGACAGUCCUGUGUUUAUUUAAUAAAAUAAUCAUGACA